UUCUUCCAAAAAGUUUCAUAAAAAUUUAAUCGCUAAAUAAUUUAUCCAAGUACUUAUUGGUUUUAAUUCUAGUUUGAUUCAAUUAUUUUUAAAUUUGCCUUUUUGUUGUUAUUGAUUUUUGGAAAUGGAUGAAUUGGAUUCAUUUCGAGACAACAUGAAUUGGGACUUAAUUGAUAUCAACAGUUUUAUAGAUGAAGCACCUUCUGAUUUCUUUUGGAACCAUCAAACCCAAAACCACAGAACUUUGACAGAACUCGAUGCGCCUCUCAGCACUGCUACAUUUCAGGAGGAGUGUCUAGAAACAGAAUGCCCCCGGAAGAGAGGCCGUAAUGAGUCGUGCAGCAAACAAGGGAACAAAGCUUGCCGUGAGAGAUUAAGAAGGGAAAAGUUGAAUGAAAGGUUUUCAGAAUUAUGCUCUGUUUUGGAACCUGGGAGACCUGUAAAAACAGACAAAAUGGCCAUACUUGGUGAUGCCAUUCGUGUUUUGAACCAACUGAAGACCGAAUCUGAGCAAUACAAAGAGAUGAACCAAAAGCUUAUGGAAGAGAUCAAGACCUUGAAGGCAGAGAAGAAUGAACUUCGUGAAGAGAAACUCGCGCUGAAGGCAGACAAAGAGAGGAUGGAGCAAGAGUUGAAAGCUACGGCUGCUCCAGCAAGUUUUAUUCCACCUCAUCCAACAGCAUAUCAGCCGGCAGUAAAUAAGAUGCCUGUUUUCCCUAGUUAUGGUUAUGUGCCAAUGUGGCAUUAUCUACCACCUUCUUCGCGGGACACAUCUCAAGAUCAUGAGCUCAGGCCUCCUGCUGCUUGAGAAUCUUACUAGAUGAUGUAUGGCAUUUGGUCCUUCAUUCGUGUAAAUAGUGCUAGCAGCAGUGAGAAUCGAGCCUUUCAACCAGUUCUCGUGGACAAUACCAUUCCCACUGGGGAUGUAGAUGAGAGGAUGCCCAAAGCUUUUCACAACAGGUCCUUUGUAUAAUGUCAUGCUCAUAAUCCCAGCCAAGGAAACCAAGGUUCCUAUGAUUUUUGCUAUUCCUCUAGGAUCUCGAAUGUUAGCAUCUUCCAACCUAACACCAAGAAAGAGCAUCUAUGAACCAUGAUUUAGUCAUCUCUCGCUGAUUGUUUGCACGUAGUGUGACAUGGAAUUUUCAUGUAUUACCUUAGAAUGACUGCUAGUAUAAAUGUUAUGGCAGCUAUAGUGUUGACCAUUGAGGCAAGAAGAGUUGGAGAGGUGUAGUUCAAGCACACAUAGUACAUGUUUAGUGUCAAACUCACUCUGUCAUGAAGGAGAGACUGUUAAAUUCCUCAUCAAAGAGCAUAUAAGAAAAAUUUGAUGUUUAACUGAUCUUACCCCAUUAGAGAGAGUACAAAUAUCUCCAACAUCAAAGCUAUAGUUAACUUUGGCCUUGUCUUUCUGUAGAAAGCAACAAAGACAUCAGAAAAUAGUCAUUUGAAGCUAAGGGUUACCUACAUUUCUGCCGAAAUAAAACAAUUGUCUGUAUA